rnacentral:rRNA from 1 species
ACCUGGAUAUGGAUUCUUCACGGUAACGUAACUGAAUGUGGAGACGUCGGCGUGAGUCCUGGGAGGAGUUAUCUNUUCUUCUUAACAGCUUAUCACCCUGGAAUUGGUUUAUCCGGAGAUAGGGUNUUAUGGCUNGAAGAGCGCAACACCUNUNUUGCGUCCGGUNCGCUUACGACGGCCCNUNAAAAUCCACAGGAAGGAAUAGUUUUCAUGCCAGGUNGUACU